rnacentral:rRNA from 1 species
GCACCCGCGGUAAUUCCAGCUCCAAUAGCGUAUAUUAAAGUUGUUGCAGUUAAAAAGCUCGUAGCUGGAUUUCUGGGAGGGUGCCGAUGUCCACUUAACGUGUGCGCAGCGGCGCCCUCUCAUCCUUCUGUUAGCGUCUCUUGGCAUUCAUUUGCUGGUGGCGGGCUCAGAUAUUUUACCUUGAGAAAAUUAGAGUGUUUCAGGCAGGCUAGGCCGGAAUACAUUAGCAUGGAAUAAUGGAAUAGGACUACGGUCUCUUUGUUGGUUUGAGGGACUGCAGUAAUGAUUAAUAGGGAUAGUUGGGGGCAUUAGUACUUAACUGUCAGAGGUGGAAUUCUCAGAUUUGUUAAAGACUGACUUAUGCGAAAGCAUUUGCCAAGGAUGUUUUCAUUGAUCAAGAACGAAAGU